rnacentral:lncRNA from 1 species
AAGGCCACAGCACCGUCUCUUUAUUAUGUUCUAAUGUGUCCAGCCGCAGCUCAGCCCACUUAGUAUUUCAGGGAAAUUACAUUCGGAGGAUCGGUAAUUUCUGGGUAUGAUAAUAAGAUCGAAGCAAUUGUAUUUGGGUCUCUGACUCAAUAUGAGGAGGUCACCUUCUAUUUUCCAGUGACGGAUGGUUCCAGGCCUGCUAUUAUCUCAACCAGACGAAAGCGGAGUGUUUUAAUUGACCGGCACAUCCAUGUAGUGAUCAGCUAGGGACGGCUUCCUCCAUCUGACAAGAUUGAUUGCUUGGAGGGGGCAGGGAUGCGAGGCUGUAAUUUUCUCAGUUGGUCAAAUUCAUAGAAUGUACUUUCUUUUCAAAAAUGAUUACUAUUUAUUUUUCUAGGAAGAUAAUGCUGCAUCUCCUUUGGCAUGAGCAUCCUUUGUUCUUAAAAGUUACCUAAUGACUUGGCAGAGGAAUCCAGUCAUUUACUUGUCAGUGAAAUGCCACAAAUAAGGCCACAGCCCUGGCAUGAGACAAGGUGCCGUGACAUCACCGGCCAGCUUGUUCCCAGGCAAGGCGCUGCUCAGGCUGAAACACGGUCGGUUGGUGUGACCCAGGAAAGUAGCCUUGAGGUGGCCACCCCGGGUUCCCUUCUCAAUCAGAAAUCUACGCUGUAAGUGGGAAAACCGCCUUGCCAUUUAAUCCAAGUCUAAUGCUGCUCUUCAGUCUCUCAGGGGUUUACAAACCUUUCUCCUUCAGACUACAGCCAUUAUCUGGAUUGUCUCCCUGCCCAUCACCUGCCCCCUCCGACCAGGCACUCCGGCUCUGAGCUAGCCCCCGGGUGCCAGGCACUCUGCCAGGCCUCCUGCUACCCCUUUCACAGAACCCGAUCUGUACCUGACCACGAAAGGAGGGCUACUUCCCAGCUCCGCCCCCUGCCCAGGGGCGUCCUCCUCACUCAGGUCCACACCACCUGUUACCGGUGCUCUCGGAAUGACUAUCGCAAAUAGCAGAGACCACAUGGGGAGGACCCCAAAGCCUCCGAGAAUUUGCUUUGGACAAUGAUAGAUCAGUGAGUCCCAGAGAGUCAUGCAGACCCCGGGGACCCUGACCUCUUCCAAGAGGUUCAUAAGGCCAGCACUGUUUGUAGUGCAGACUGAUCUCAGGGCGAGGCGUGCUGGGCCAGCACUCCCCAGAGCUCACUGGGUGGACAAGCCCCUCGGGACGCAGAAGCAUGUGCCCUAGCACACAGCAGCCAGAGGCCCCAAGCAACUGUUGGACACCACCUGCCUCGACACAGAGAGCCAGAUUACGUAACAAUGAAGCAGUAGGGAGGACCAAGUCCCUGCACCCCUCUCCUCCAUACCCCUGUGCCCCAGGCCCCUUGGCCUCUAGGAAAGCCCUGGGGCUCCCAGGCAGAGCCCAUUUUUGCCUGGAAGGGCUCCUGGCACGCGGGUAUCCAGACGUGGGCAUCUGGCAGAUGUUUCCUUAGGAACAAGUUAAGGGAACUUCAAGGAAAGCCACGCUGCAUUUGAUGCCCAUGAUGAAAAGAGCCUUCAGCAAAAAUCGGUAUUUGAGGAAAUUCGUGUCUACCUCCGAGAGCCUGGCGGUGUCCACCGACUCUGAUGCAAUCAGUGUCGAGACUAAUGAACGUGAUCUUUGUAUUUGCAUAAUCGUGACAUAUGUCAGCAUUUGGGAGGUUUGAAUAAUUCAGGGAACCAGUACUUCCCAAAGGACCACGGUGUGAUGUCACAAAGCCAUGCCUGAGUGUCAGCUCCUGGCAGUGCCAGAUGGCCCCGAGGCUCACACGAGUGGACGUGGAGAGGUCCUGGGUGGGGCUGCAGAUGCCACUUUGCAAUUAACUUUAAAAAAGUGUCACUGUGGAGGCCGGGGGUGGCCCUGUGGAAAGCACUUGCCUGGCGUGUGGAGACCCUGGGAUCCACCCGGCACUUCGGGGAAACGGGAUUAAAGAAGAGAGGAGGGGGAAUAGUAUCCCUGCCUGAGUUUCAUGAACUCCAAGAAUAUUCAGUUUUCUACAAAGGCUAUUAAGACAUCCUCCUCGCCAGGUGCAGGGGCACACGCCUGUGAUCCCAGUGGCUCGGGAGGACGAGGCAAGAGGAUCAUGAGUUCAAAGCCACCCUCAGCAACUUAGCGAGACCCUGUCUCUAAACAAGAUAUAAAAA